rnacentral:rRNA from 1 species
AUGUUCAUAUCGGCUCAUGCAAUGGGACAUCAACUAGCAGUUCCAACCCCAACGGUGGUUAUUCAUAUUAAUGGAAAGAGAGCAAUUGCAUUGCUAGAUACUGGCAGUACUACUUCUUUCAUGAGUCAAGAAUUUGUUGUCCGAUCAAACUGCCAUUUGUUACCUGUUAAACCAAGAGUGAUAGCUGUAGCUGGUGGAGGCAAGUUACUAUCUAAUGCUGUAGCUCCUGAUUGUGAAUUUCACAUUGCUAAAACAACAGUGACACAUAAUUUCAGAGUGUUGCCAUUGCCAAGUCAUGAUGUUAUAUUGGGCUAUGACUGGUUUGCACUAGUGAGUCCUAUAGCUUUCCAUGUGCCAGAAAGUAAAUUCAGCUUUACAUUGCAAGGAAAACAGACUGUUACUACUGCCAUUUUUAGCUCUUUGGAAACAGUAAAAGAAGCUCCAGCUGAAGAAGUAAACAAAAUGUUGGACAAAGGAGUUGAGGUUUUUUUAUUGCAGAUGCACAACAUUGUUCUGCAAUCUCCAAUAGGAUUUAAAACUCCUCCCCAGCUGCAGAAAUUGUUAAUGGAUUAUGCUGAUCUUUUCAAGGAACCAUCCUCUCUCCCUCCUCAUAGAGAAUUUGAUCACACUAUUCCAUUAAAGCCUGGAACAGACCCCCCUCACUCCAGACCAUAUAGAGUGCCCAAUAAUCAAAAACAAGAGAUGGAAGAACAGAUCAAGAAACGGUUAGUAGCUCAUUUCAUAAGACACAACCAAAGUCCGUAUGUAGCACCUGUUAUUCUAGUGAAGAAGAAAGAUGGUUCAAUGAGACUUUGUACUGAUUACAGAAAACUUAAUGCAGCCACUGUAAAGAACAAGUUUCCAAUACUAGUAAUUGAAGAUUUACUGGAUGAACUACAUGGAGCUAAAUACUUUUCCAAACUAGACUUAAGAGUAGGAUAUCAUCUGAUUAGGAUGCAUCCAAAUCAUAUACAUACGACUGCUUUCAGAACAUUCCUUGGACAUUUUGAGUACUUGGAAAUGCCAUUUGGUCUAUCAAAUUCCCCUGGCACUUUUCAAGUGCUCAUGAACAUAAUUUUUGCUCCUUAUCUCAGAAAAUUUGUACUUGUAUUCUUUGAUGAUAUUCUGAUUUACAGUAAGACACUGCAAGCGCAUUUGGAACACACCUAG